GCAAAUUUCAAAUUCUAGACAGUUGUAGCUUGCAUGCAAACUGCCUCUCCUGGUUUAUUUGUCUGAUGUGCAUUAGAUCUUGCAAAUACAGGGCACAGAUAUGGUAGAUUUCUGUAGGACACUUUCCUGUAUCACCUGGGACCCUGUUUACAAUGUGGCCUUGCAUUUCUAAGCUCCAAAGUGCAACCAAAGCCGAAGUCAAGCUUGGAACAUUAUCUAUUCAGGCAUGGAAACCAGCUGGACCAAAGAGGAUGCCCCCAUCUCAACUUUGGAAAAGCUUUCAACAAGAACAAGUGACAUGUAUUAUGAUUAUGAUACCAUCACCAACAACAUUACAGCAGUAAUGGUGCUGUUUUAGAAGGACAAUAAUUAAGUUAUUAGUAUAUGCUCAGUAUCAGGAAAAUGAAUUUUUAUAAGCAAGCAUCAUAUAUGAUCUAAAUCUGUUGGUAUCUGCAAUAAUGUUGCAAUCUUUAAAAUAAUGGUUCAUAGGG